CGGCGGACGGGUGAGUAACACGUGGGCAACCUGCCUUACACAGGGGGAUAACAGUUAGAAAUGACUGCUAAUACCGCAUAAGACCGCAGUACCGCAUGGUACAGCGGUAAAAACUCCGGUGGUGUAAGAUGGGCCCGCGUCUGAUUAGGUAGUUGGUGGGGUAACGGCCCACCAAGCCGACGAUCAGUAGCCGACCUGAGAGGGUGACCGGCCACAUUGGGACUGAGACACGGCCCAGACUCCUACGGAAGGCAGCAG
rnacentral:rRNA from 1 species